rnacentral:rRNA from 1 species
GCAGUCGACGCUGAGCUGGGUGCUUGCACCUGGUGGAUGAGUGGCGAACGGGUGAGUAAUACGUGAGUGACCUUCCUUGGACUCUGGGAUAAGCCCGGGAAACUGGGUCUAAUACCGGAUACGACCAGUCCUCGCAUGGGGUGCUGGUGGAAAGGGUUUGUACUGGUUCUUGAUGGGCUCACGUCCUAUCAGCUUGUUGGUGAGGUAAUGGCUUACCAAGGCGACGACGGGUAGCCGGCCUGAGAGGGUGACCGGCCACACUGGGACUGAGACACGGCCCAGACUCCUACGGGAGGCAGCAGUGGGGAAUAUUGCACAAUGGGCGCAAGCCUGAUGCAGCGACGCCGCGUGGGGGAUGACGGCCUUCGGGUUGUAAACCUCUUUCAGCAGGGAAGAAGCGAAAGUGACGGUACCUGCAGAAGAAGCGCCGGCUAACUACGUGCCAGCAGCCGCGGUAAUACGUAGGGCGCAAGCGUUGUCCGGAAUUAUUGGGCGUAAAGAGCUCGUAGGCGGUUUGUCGCGUCUGCUGUGAAAGCCCGGGGCUCAACCCCGGGUGUGCAGUGGGUACGGGCAGGCUGGAGUGCAGUAGGGGAGACUGGAAUUCCUGGUGUAGCGGUGAAAUGCGCAGAUAUCAGGAGGAACACCGAUGGCGAAGGCAGGUCUCUGGGCUGUUACUGACGCUGAGGAGCGAAAGCAUGGGGAGCGAACAGGAUUAGAUACCCUGGUAGUCCAUGCCG